GUAGAUUGAAGCCAGUUGUCUAGGGUAUUUAGCUGUUAACUAAAAUUUCGUGGGAUGAAAGCCCACCAAUCUA
rnacentral:tRNA from 1 species